rnacentral:rRNA from 1 species
UACGAAGGAUUCGAGCGUUAUCCGGAUUUAUUGGGUUUAAAGGGUGCGUAGGUGGAUUAAUAAGUCAGUGGUGAAAGCCCGCAGCUUAACUGCGGAACUGCCAUUGAUACUGUUAGUCUUGAGUACAGUUGAGGUGGGCGGAAUGUGUCAUGUAGCGGUGAAAUGCUUAGAUAUGACACAGAACACCGAUUGCUAAGGCAGCUCACUAAGCUGUAACUGACACUGAGGCACGAAAGUGUGGGUAGCAAACAGG